GUGUUUCGUGUUCAGCAGAGGCAUAGCUUAAUUAUUAUUGAGUGAGUGCUCAAAGAAGGUGAAAAGCCUGUGUGGUUGUGCUAACCUGCUGAACCGUGACACUGAAGAGUCUAGUUGUUUGAGAGUACAACUUAAAGCUGGUGGUAAAUUUCAUCAAAGGCUAAAUAUAUGAGGGGACUAAUAGCGAACAAGUACCAUGAGGGAAAGUUGAAAAGAACUCUGACGAGAGAGUUCAACAGUACGUGAAACCAUAUUGAGUAAAACAGAUAACUGUGUUGUUAUGUGGUGUGCCUAUCAACAGUCUAUUUGGUGUUGUGAUGCCAUGAGUGUAGGUUGUCUAUUCAGCUGAUCGCUCGUGGGUAGCAUAGCCAGAGAUUCUGUGCACUAGUGCACACUCAAUCAUUGAGAAACUAUGCUGCUGCGGCAUCGGCUUGCAUCAGUCCGUACCUAGUACACAGUUGCAUGCUGGGCGUCAGCUGGCUGGCGUAGUUUAGCUGUGUGACAGCUGUGGGUUGCGUUUGCCAAAGGUAGCUGCCGUAUCUGCGAAUCGGUUGAUUCCUUUUUGCGGUGGGCACGUUGCCGUAGGUAAGCGACUCGCCAUCAAUGGUUAACAUUAGUUAUUUGACCCGUCUUGAAACACGGACCAAGGAGUUCAAAUGGCACGCGAGUCAUUGGGUUCAACACCCGAAGGCGAAGUGAAAUGCAAACGUAUUGUUAUUUGUGGUUGUUCCAUGAUUAAGCGAUAAGCUACUCAUGCUUUCUGGCAUUUG
rnacentral:rRNA from 1 species